rnacentral:rRNA from 1 species
UACGAAGGGGGCUAGCGUUGCUCGGAAUCACUGGGCGUAAAGGGUGCGUAGGCGGGUCUUUAAGUCAGGGGUGAAAUCCUGGAGCUCAACUCCAGAACUGCCUUUGAUACUGGCGACCUUGAGUUCGGGAGAGGUGAGUGGAACUGCGAGUGUAGAGGUGAAAUUCGUAGAUAUUCGCAAGAACACCAGUGGCGAAGGCGGCUCACUGGCCCGAUACUGACGCUGAGGAGCGAAAGCAUGGGUAGCGAACAGG